GCACGGAGUUAGCCGAUCCUUAUUCUUACGGUACCGUCAAGCUCCUACACGUAGGAGUGUUUCUUCCCGUACAAAAGCAGUUUACACACCAUAGAUGCGUCUUCCUGCACGCGGCAUGGCUGGAUCAGGCUUGCGCCCAUUGUCCAAUAUUCCUCA
rnacentral:rRNA from 1 species